rnacentral:rRNA from 1 species
UGGGGAAUUUUGGACAAUGGGCGCAAGCCUGAUCCAGCAAUGCCGCGUGCAGGAUGAAGGCCUUCGGGUUGUAAACUGCUUUUGUCAGGGAAGAAACGAGUUUCUCUAAUACAGAGACUUAAUGACGGUACCUGAAGAAUAAGCACCGGCUAACUACGUGCCAGCAGCCGCGGUAAUACGUAGGGUGCGAGCGUUAAUCGGAAUUACUGGGCGUAAAGCAUGCGCAGGCGGUUAUAUAAGACAGAUGUGAAAUCCCCGGGCUCAACCUGGGACCUGCAUUUGUGACUGUAUAGCUAGAGUACGGUAGAGGGGGAUAGAAUUCCGCGUGUAGCAGUGAAAUGCGUAGAUAUGCGGAGGAACACCGAUGGCGAAGGCAAUCCCCUGGACCUGUACUGACGCUCAUGCACGAAAGCGUGGGGAGCAAACA